rnacentral:rRNA from 1 species
UACGUAGGGCGCAAGCGUUGUCCGGAAUUAUUGGGCGUAAAGAGCUCGUAGGCGGCUUGUCACGUCGAUUGUGAAAGCCCGAGGCUUAACCUCGGGUCUGCAGUCGAUACGGGCUAGCUAGAGUGUGGUAGGGGAGAUCGGAAUUCCUGGUGUAGCGGUGAAAUGCGCAGAUAUCAGGAAGAACACCCGUGGCGAAAGCGGCUCUCUGGAACGGUACUGACGCUGAGACGCGAAAGCGUGGGGAGCGAACAGG